GCAGCCUUCCUUCAGAGAAAAGGCCUAGAGGCCCCAUCCGAGGUUCCCCCCCCCCCCGCUGGGAGGUGUGACUCAAUCCACCUCUUCAAUGGUGGGUCCCGGGGUGGGGUUGGCCUGCCUGGCCUGGGCCCCACAGCUGCUCCCUGCAGCAGGUGCCCCGGGUGCCUGGUAGAGCCCGGCAAUGAUGGGGUGGCUCAGGCGUUCCAGUUCCUUCUUCUGGUGUUCAUACUCCUCCUUGUCGGCCAGCUGGUUGCCCUCCAGCCAGGAGAGGACCUCCUGGCACUUCUGCAGCACCUUCCUCCUAUCUUCUUCCUUGAUCUUGUCCCGAAGGCCGUCCUCUUGCACCGUGCUCUUGAGGUGGAAGACGUAGGCCUCGAGGGAGUUCUUGGCAGCCACCUUCUCCCGCUGAACCUCGUCCUCGGCCUUGUACCUCUCAGCCUCCUGCACCAUCCUCUCCACCUCCUCCUUGCUGAGCCGGCCCUUGUCGUUGGUGAUGGUGAUCCUGUUGGCCUUGCCCGUGCUCUUGUCCGUGGCCGAGACGUUCAGGAUGCCAUUGGCGUCGAUGUCAAAGGUGACCUCGACCUGGGGGACCCCCCGCGGCGCAGGGGGGAUGCCCGACAGCUCAAAGCGUCCCAGCAGGUUGUUGUCCCGGGUCAUGGCCCGCUCCCCCUCGUACACCUGGAUCAGGACUCCCGGCUGGUUGUCCGCGUACGUGGUGAAGGUCUGCGUCUGCUUGGUGGGGAUGGUGGAGUUUCGCUUGAUCAGGGUGGUCAUCACCCCGCCUGCCGUCUCCAGGCCCAGGGACAGGGGAGCCACAUCGAGCAGCAGCAGGUCCCGCACCUUCUCCGACUUGUCCCCCAUCAACACGGCCGCCUGCACCGCCGCCCCGUAGGCCACGGCCUCGUCCGGGUUGAUGCUCUUGUUCAGCUCCUUGCCGUUGAAGAAGUCCUGCAGCAGCUUCUGCACCUUGGGGAUGCGCGUGGAGCCCCCCACCAGCACCACGUCGUGGAUCUGGCCCUUGUCCAUCUUGGCGUCCCGCAGGGCCUUCUCCACGGGCUCCAGGGUUUCCCGGAAGAGGUCGGAGCACAGCUCCUCAAAGCGGGCUCGGGUGAUGGUCGUGUAGAAGUCCACCCCCUCGUACAGCGAAUCGAUCUCCACGUUGGCCUGGGUGCUGGAGGACAGCGUGCGCUUGGCCCGCUCACAGGCUGUCCUCAGCCUCCUCAGGGCCCGCUUGCUCUGACUCGGGUCCUUCCUGUGUCUGCGCUUGAACUCUUGCACAAAGUGGUUCACCAGCCGGUUGUCAAAGUCCUCCCCGCCCAGGUGGGUGUCCCCGGCUGUGGCCUUCACCUCAAAGACGCCGUCGUCGAUGGUGAGGAUGGACACGUCGAAGGUGCCGCCCCCCAGGUCGAAGAUGAGCACGUUGCGCUCCCCCCUGCCCGACCCGUCCAGCCCGUAGGCGAUGGCUGCCGCCGUGGGCUCGUUGAUGAUCCUCAGCACGUUGAGCCCCGCGAUGGCCCCCGCGUCCUUGGUGGCCUGGCGCUGCGAGUCGUUGAAGUAGGCCGGCACCGUGAUGACCGCGUUGCUCACCGGGUGCCCCAGGUAGGCCUCCGCCGUCUCCUUCAUCUUGCUCAGCACCAUGGAGGAGAUCUCCUCCGGGUAGAAGGCCUUGCUCUCGCCUUUGUAGGACACCCGCACCUUGGGUUUCCCGCCCUCGCUCACCACCUGGAAGGGCCAGUGUUUCAUGUCCGACUGCACCACCUCGUCCGAGAACUUGCGCCCGAUCAGCCUCUUGGCGUCAAAGACGGUGUUCUGCGGGUUCAUGGCCACCUGGCUUUUGGCCGCAUCGCCGACCAGCCGCUCGCUCUCCGUGAAGGCCACGUAGCUCGGCGUGGUGCGGUUGCCUUGGUCGUUGGCGAUGAUCUCCACCCGGCCGUGCUGGAACACGCCCACGCAGGAGUAGGUCGUGCCCAGGUCGAUGCCGAUCGCCGUUCCCUGGGGGGUACCCAUGGCUCGGGGACACCUGCCUUCCUUCCUCCCUCCGGCACUGGACGGGGACGAGCUGCCUUUCUGCGCGACUCUGCGGGGCUCUGCGCGGCUCCUGGCACAGCCGCUGGUAUCGAUACCAAGAAGGCAGGCAACCGGGCUCGAGCGGCCGCUCCGGGUGCUGGGCUCACAACGGGCUGGAGGGUUCCCCCGACUCAGAUCCUCCUGAUCCUCGGUAUCUGCUCACGGACGGACGCUGCUGGUGCUGGUGCUGCUGCUGCUGCUGGUGCUGGUGCUGGCACUCCUGGUGCUGCUGCUGCUGCUGCUGGAGGGAGUGGGUCCUGGAUCUCGGGCGGCUCUGCGGCUCGGUCUCGGAUCCUGUUGUGUUCUCAGUGCCUUUUCUCAGCUGGGGGGGAUGUGCUGGGCUCUGCUCCGGGCUGGCCUCUUUAUCCUGUGGCCCGGGACCCGCCUCCUCCCUCCGCCUCCGCCUGCGAACUUUCGGGCACCCUCUCGGGGAACCCGGAGUCCCGGAGAAAGGCUCUGGAGGAGCCCGCCCCGCCACCCGACGGAGACCAAUGGGAAGCGAGGACUCGGCUCAGCCAGAACCUUCGCGGAGGUUCCGAGAGCCCGGGAACUGAGGCGAGGGGAGGGGUGCCGAGGGGAGCUGGGGGUAGCCAGGCUGGCCAGGGAGCCGGGCGGGGCGGGGCUUGUCGUGAGUGCUGCGGCUUUGGGGGCUCAGCCGCUACCGUGAACGAGCCUUUCGGCGUCGGCUUCUGUUGGGUUGGGGGCGGACGGAUCGUAGGUUCUUGGGCGCAGGGACUGCCCCGGAGCCCAGGCCAGGUGGCUGGAGCUCCCCAGUGCUGCUCUCCGAGAAUGGGCUCGGCUGCAGCUCGAGCCUGGCUUCAGGUGGACCUAGCGUAG
rnacentral:lncRNA from 1 species